GUGGGGAAUAUUGCACAAUGGGCGAAAGCCUGAUGCAGCAACGCCGCGUGAGCGAUGAAGGCCUUCGGGUCGUAAAGCUCUGUCCUCAAGGAAGAUAAUGACGGUACUUGAGGAGGAAGCCCCGGCUAACUACGUGCCAGCAGCCGCGGUAAUACGUAGGGGGCUAGCGUUAUCCGGAAUUACUGGGCGUAAAGGGUGCGUAGGUGGUUUCUUAAGUCAGAGGUGAAAGGCUACGGCUCAACCGUAGUAAGCCUUUGAAACUGGGAAACUUGAGUGCAGGAGAGGAGAGUGGAAUUCCUAGUGUAGCGGUGAAAUGCGUAGAUAUUAGGAGGAACACCAGUUGCGAAGGCGGCUCUCUGGACUGUAACUGACACUGAGGCACGAAAGCGUGGGGAGCAA
rnacentral:rRNA from 1 species